CCUUCCUUUCAAUUCUCUCUCAUUUUCACAACAACUUCCCUUCAUCUCAAUUCUCUGUCAUUUUCCCUCUUUCUGUACAAUUUUUUUUAGAAUUUAUUUCUCUAUUAUCUUUGAGUUCCCGAGCUUAGCAAGUAUUUAUCUUGAGUGUUGUUAUUCAGUGGGUUCAAGUGUUAUUUUAACUGACGAAAAAGAUUGUUUUAUCCUACGGACGAUGGGGUUGUAACAACUGCUAGUACCUAGAGUAGAGCCGUGAAACGUCUUAAAGAAAGUGAGUUUCGUGACUCAGCCCAACAAUUAAUGAGUUUUUGUUUUUUAGGUUUUGUCAUUCUAACGAAGCCUUCUAGCAAAGCGACAUCAACAAUUUAAGACGUCCAUGUUUGCUACCAUGGUCGGUCUAUUCCAAGCUGACAUGCUAACCUCGGAUUUGAACUCACCAUUUCGCUUCGUAGGAGCCCACUUCAAAUGUUGGAAGCAGAAGAUGUUGUUUUUCUUAACCCUGAAGAAGGUUGCCACUACCUGCACUACCGAAAAGCCAAAAGUUCCAAAGACCGAUCCAACCGAGAAGCGACUUCAGGCUCACAACACAUGGUGCUAUGUCUACGGUGAAGGAAGAUUGGAAUGGACUGCAAAAAAUGUACGACACUGAAGAAGUUGGAUUCAAGAAGUAUGCGGUAAGUCGAUACAUGUGGUAUCAGAUGGUUGACGAUAGAUAAGUAGAAGUUCAAUCACACGAACUACAGAAGAUUAUCCACAAAAUAAUUAGUGAAGGCAUGCCUUUAGAUGAGCAAUUGCAGGUUGCUGUUACUAUUGACAAGCUACCUUCAUUGUAGAAGGACUUUAAAAAUACCCUAAUGCAUAAGAUGAAGGAGUUCUCUCUGAAGAGUCUAAUCACCCGACUGAAAAUUGAGGAGGAGGCCCACAAGCAUGAUCAAAAGGAGGAAGAGGUGAACGUGAUCCUAAAAAAGAAGUCCAUUGUCAUUCUGAAACUAGACCUGAAGUCUAAGGGGAAUAAGAUAAAGGUUCAGAACCAUGGGCCCAACAACUAGAAGAAUCAAUAAUAACCUCAGUCCAGAAGUACGGUACCAAUUGUGCGUUUCAAUUGUAAUCAACCUGGGCAUCUAGUUAGGAACUGUAGGAACGAGAAUCAUCCUACUACGCAGGCAAACUUGGUAAAAGAAGACUUAGUAGCUAUGAUCAAAGAAAUAAAUGUGAUAAGAAGGUCUAAAGGUUCAAUUGUAAUCAACAUGGGCAUCUAGCUAGGAACUGUAGUAACAGGAAUCAUCCUACUGCGCAGGCAAACCUCGUAAAAGAAAACUUAGUAGCUAUGAUCAUAGAAAUAAAUGUGAUCAGAAGGUCUAAAGGUUAUUGGCUAGACCCUGGUGCUUCAUGCCAUGUCUUCCAUGAACUUAGUUUAUUUAAAAAAAUAUAACAAAACUAAAGACAAUAAUAUUCUUCUUGGGGAUCACCACGCAACCAAA